ACAGACAGAACAGGCAGUGGAGAAUGAGCUGUUUCUCCCCAACCACAUGCAUCUGCAAGAGUGAGGAGUGGAACAGGCAGAGUCAGAGAACAGCAGGGUUGAGGUUUUCCAAGGAGGUACAUGCAGCAGAAUAUGCAAGAGAUUCGGAGUGUGUCCAGAGGAAUUUAUUCUAACAAUUGACCAUGGAAGGUGACCAGAUGGGUGUGAAGAUAGUGUCUUGCAAUGUCGCCCAGGCUGGAGUGCAGUGGUGCCCCUCCUGUUGUGAAUGGACAGAGUCCUGAGCAAGGAAACCUAGAAGGGAGAGAGGAAUAACCAUGGAAUUGAGUCCUGUCUGGUAGCACUGACAGACACAGUGGCCAGCCACCCUCAUGCCACCCUGUCCUGCCAUGGGAAGGAACAGCAGCUCUAGAGUUCCUAUGGGAACUCUCUUUCCUUCUCACUGAACUCUAGCUUCAUCAAUAACUCAGUGCCUCUGGCCAAGUUUUUAGCCUCUGGGACAACAUCCACUAUAUCCAUAUGAGGCACUCAUGUAACACGGUGAUUAAGAGUACAGAUGCUGGAG
rnacentral:antisense_RNA from 1 species